rnacentral:rRNA from 1 species
GGCGAGUGAAGCGGCAACAGCUCAAAUUUGAAAGCUGGCCUUCGGGUCCGCAUUGUAAUUUGUAGAGGAUGCUUUGGGUGAAACGCCAGUCUAAGUUCCUUGGAACAGGACGUCAUAGAGGGUGAGAAUCCCGUAUGUGACUGGAAAUGUUAACCUAUGUAAAGCUCCUUCGACGAGUCGAGUUGUUUGGGAAUGCAGCUCUAAAUGGGAGGUAAAUUUCUUCUAAAGCUAAAUAUUGGCGAGAGACCGAUAGCGCACAAGUAGAGUGAUCGAAAGAUGAAAAGCACUUUGGAAAGAGAGUUAAAAAGCACGUGAAAUUGUUGAAAGGGAAGCGCUUGCAAUCAGACUUGUUUAAACUGUUCGGCCGGUCUUCUGACCGGUUUACUCAGUUUGGACAGGCCAGCAUCAGUUUCGGCGGCCGGAUAAAGGCUCUGGGAAUGUGGCCUUCACUUCGGUGAAGGUGUUAUAGCCCAGGGUGUAAUACGGCCAGCCGGGACUGAGGUCCGCGCUUCGGCUAGGAUGCUGGCGUAAUGGUUGUAAGCGACCCGUCUA